UACAGAGGGGGCAAGCGUUGUUCGGAAUUACUGGGCGUAAAGGGCGCGUAGGCGGCCUGCUAAGUCGAACGUGAAAUCCCUGGGCUCAACCCAGGAACUGCGUCCGAUACUGGUUGGCUUGAGUUCGGGAGAGGGAUGCGGAAUUCCAGGUGUAGCGGUGAAAUGCGUAGAUAUCUGGAGGAACACCGGUGGCGAAGGCGGCAUCCUGGACCGACACUGACGCUGAGGAGCGAAAGCCAGGGGAGCAAACGGG
rnacentral:rRNA from 1 species